GGGUUGUGAGGUUAAGCGACUAAGCGUACACGGUGGAUGCCCUGGCAGUCAGAGGCGAUGAAGGACGUGCUAAUCUGCGAUAAGCGCCGGUAAGGUGAUAUGAACCGUUAUAACCGGCGAUUUCCGAAUGGGGAAACCCAGUGUGAUUCGUCACACUAUCAUUAACUGAAUCCAUAGGUUAAUGAGGCGAACCGGGGGAACUGAAACAUCUAAGUACCCCGAGGAAAAGAAAUCAACCGAGAUUCCCCCAGUAGCGGCGAGCGAACGGGGAGGAGCCCAGAGCCUGAAUCAGCAUGUGUGUUAGUGGAAGCGUCUGGAAAGGCGCGCGAUACAGGGUGACAGCCCCGUACACAAAAGCGCAUGUGCUGUGAGCUCGAUGAGUAGGGCGGGACACGUGGUAUCCUGUCUGAAUA
rnacentral:rRNA from 1 species